rnacentral:lncRNA from 1 species
AAACCCAGCCCUCCCGAGCAGGAAAGGACGGGUGGGUGCAGCUGGAGGAGGAAGCGGUGGAGGAAUUACGCCCCGGCAGCUCCUCUACGGCGGGGAAGCCUGCGGCGUCUGGGCUUCCUGAGACCGUGGGAGGAGGCCUGCGUACUCACGCCAGAGAGCGGGGCAAGCGGUUCUCAGUCGCCGGCUCCCGCCCGCAGUCCCCGGCGAGCGCUCUCCCCUGACUCAGGGACUUUCAUGUGCCCGGCGACACACCAGCAUCCUGCAGUGGGCAACCUCAGCGGACGCUUCCUCGUUUUAGGGAAUCAUCUGGUUUACACCGCGUCAGACUGCCGCCCGCAAUCUCCGUCAUCAAAGCAGGCAACCCUGUAGAGGAUGCCUUUCCCUGGAAUGAUCCGGAAUGGACGACACCUGAGCUCUCUCUGCCAAUCUUAGCAACAUCCAAGGCCAUUAUCCCUUUGAAAACUAUGGCUUCGUUUGGGACAAAAAGGAAGUAACUUACGAAAUGUGACCAGUCAGGUAGUUCCCUACACGAGGCUUCCUGGCCCAAUUUCUGUUGCCAUUAGCUUUUCAUCACCCAAGGCCGCAGGAUUUUCUGACCAGUAAUUUGGAUACCUAUAUUCUUAUACAUGUUGGCGAGGUAGGUGCGCCAUACAGUCUCCACCACAUUCUAGCACAAGCAGUCAUUAAACUUCACUCUAGCAUAAGUUAAGAAUUCAGACUGCAGUGAGAUGGCUAAGAGCAUGAAAGAUCUGCUCGAUUCAAGUGUUAGGAGCUUGAAUAAGUUUCUUAAUUUCUCUGCCUCAUCUAUUAACACAGGACUGACAAUACAGUUUAUAUAGAGUUGUUGCCAGAAUUAAAGGAGUUGAUGUAUGUGAAGCACUUAACUCGGUAACUGGCACAUCGUAGAUGACUCAGUAAAUGCUAUUACCCUUACACAUACAAGUGCCGUUUCAUACUCAGUUUGACUUGGCAAGCCUUUCCCAACCGCUUCAGGUGCCUUCCUGUUUUGUCCUCAAUUACUGUACAAAUAUUUUCUGAGGAUCUGUUACCUGCAUGUGCCAAUUAUGGAAAUAAAAUCUUCUAGUCUUUACUG